rnacentral:rRNA from 1 species
UACGGAGGGUGCAAGCGUUAUCCGGAUUCACUGGGUUUAAAGGGUGCGUAGGAGGGCAGGUAAGUCAGUGGUGAAAUCCCCAAGCUUAACUUGGGAACUGCCGUUGAUACUAUCUGUCUUGAAUACCGUGGAGGUGAGCGGAAUAUGUCAUGUAGCGGUGAAAUGCUUAGAUAUGACAUAGAACACCAAUUGCGAAGGCAGCUCGCUACACGAAUAUUGACUCUGAUGCACGAAAGCGUGGGGAUCAAACAGG